CGCUGCACUGAUAGGUCCACGAUGCUCCCCGCGUGCCCGGCAGUCUGAGCCAGGCUGGAGCAGCUGGGCCUCAGCCUCCUGUUGGAGACGUUUUGACAGCUGUAUACAGUCCCGGGCCCCCCUCCCACGGCCUGCGUCCCGGGAGAGUGAUCUUUUCACAGCGAGUCCCCAAGAAGCCUGUCGGAGCAGGACCACGUGCUCUGUUUGCACAGCAGCAUGUGGUACCCCAGGAGGAAAUCAAACCAGCGUUGAAAGUUCAAGGAACAGCCAAGCUCUGCUGGGAAGUGGUGGGGGCCAGGGCCAGGAUGGAGAAAUGGAGCGGGUGGCCUGCGGACUCCCUCCCCAAGAGUCGGAAGGAGGGGGACUCCAGGCCAGAGCUGUUUGGGAUAAAGUGAACUGCUGGGUUUUGGCAAGGAAGGCACACAAGAGGACUUUCUGCACCCAGCGAUCCUGUCUGACACACGAAGUGAACUUUGAUGAGGGUGACAAUCUUCUGUGUUGAACGGUUUUAGAGUUGAUAAAGGCAUCUCCCAACCCACAUUUCAUUAAACACUUGCAAAAUCUUGUGA